rnacentral:tRNA from 1 species
GCCUCGAUAGCUCAGUCGGUAGAGCAGAGGAUUGAAAAUCCUCGUGUCGGUGGUUCGAUUC